rnacentral:pre_miRNA from 14 species
UUCUUGUGAAAGAUCCCACGCAGAGAGACCCUUACUCAAGUCUUGGGAAAUCGCGGACCCCAGACACAGAGAGACCA